GACAGAGGGUGCAAACGUUGCUCGGAAUCACUGGGCGUAAAGGGCGUGUAGGCGGCUCGGUAAGUCCGCUGUGAAAGUCCAGGGCUCAACCCUGGAAUGCCGGUGGAAACUGUCGAGCUAGAGUCCGGAAGAGGCGAGUGGAAUUCCUGGUGUAGCGGUGAAAUGCGCAGAUAUCAGGAGGAACACCAAUGGCGAAGGCGAGUCCCUGGACAACUCCUGACACUGAUGCACGAAAGCUAGGGGAGCAAACAGG
rnacentral:rRNA from 1 species